GAAAACAUGUGGGACCAAGAGAAGACGACGGAGGACGUGGAGGUAGCGCAACUACGAGAACGAACAGCGCUGCUAGAUCACUCGGCUGCCAACCGCCAUGUCUUCGCUUUCGAUCGUACACGAAUCGUGGAUGCUAGUCUUAAGAAGCAAAACUUACACAUACUAGAAACAUGUCAUAUUAUAAACACACCGAACACAGUGAACAAGCGCACCGAUACAGACAAUCUGAGCAAUACGUACGCCGGCGUACUACACACUUUAAAAAACAAUACACGAAGCCAGGCCGUCCAACAGGCAAACGAAUCGGUACAACAAGAGUUAACACAAUCAGAGUAAAAGUGGCGCCAAAACGGGCAACUGCAUCGCUGUUCUGCGACCCGGAUAGUUUUUCGGAUAUUUUUCGGAUAUUUUAUCCCAUCCAUCCGCCGGCGGCGGCAGACGAUACGUUACGUCUGGGACAAAUGUGGCCUAUGCUGUGGGCUCAUACUGACGACAAAACGGAGCAUAGUUAAUUCCCAGAAGAAGGCGCAAUAUAGCGACCGAAACGUCGGAUGAAAGCUUAAAAAUCCGUUUUUGAGUUAUUCCUCCAAAGACUGAACGCCAUUCCCCUUCCAACAUAAUCA